AAAUUGAAGAGUUUGAUCAUGGCUCAGAUUGAACGCUGGCGGCAGGCCUAACACAUGCAAGUCGAACGGUAACAGGAAGCAGCUUGCUGCUUCGCUGACGAGUGGCGGACGGGUGAGUAAUGUCUGGGAAACUGCCUGAUGGAGGGGGAUAACUACUGGAAACGGUAGCUAAUACCGCAUAAUGUCGCAAGACCAAAGAGGGGGACCUUCGGGCCUCUUGCCAUCGGAUGUGCCCAGAUGGGAUUAGCUAGUAGGUGGGGUAACGGCUCACCUAGGCGACGAUCCCUAGCUGGUCUGAGAGGAUGACCAGCCACACUGGAACUGAGACACGGUCCAGACUCCUACGGGAGGCAGCAGUGGGGAAUAUUGCACAAUGGGCGCAAGCCUGAUGCAGCCAUGCCGCGUGUAUGAAGAAGGCCUUCGGGUUGUAAAGUACUUUCAGCGGGGAGGAAGGGAGUAAAGUUAAUACCUUUGCUCAUUGACGUUACCCGCAGAAGAAGCACCGGCUAACUCCGUGCCAGCAGCCGCGGUAAUACGGAGGGUGCAAGCGUUAAUCGGA
rnacentral:rRNA from 1 species